rnacentral:rRNA from 1 species
AACGCGAAGAACCUUACCUAGGCUUGACAUGCUGGAGAAAGCUUGCGGAAACGUGAGCCCCUCUUCAGAGUUCCAGCACAGAUGCUGCAUGGCUGUCGUCAGCUCGUGUCGUGAGAUGUUGGGUUAAGUCCCGCAACGAGCGCAACCCUCACUCUUAGUUACCAGCGGGUAAAGCCGGGGACUCUAGGGGGACUGCCGGUGCCAAACCGGAGGAAGGUGGGGAUGACGUCAAGUCAUCAUAGCUCUUACGUCUAGGGCUACACACGUGCUACAAUGGGCCGGACAGAGGGUCGCCAACUCGCGAGAGUGAGCCAAUCCCCAAACCGGUCCUCAGUUCGGAUUGUAGUCUGCAACUCGACUACAUGAAGCUGGAAUCGCUAGUAAUCGUGGAUCAGCUACGCCACGGUGAAUACGUUCCCGGGUCUUGUACACACCG